CUGGGAUCUCUUUUGCAGAUAGAUAGAAGUGUUUCCACUCUCAGCUUUAAGCGGUGGGUUUGCUGUUUUGAAGCUGGGGGAAUGCACACCGGUAUUAUCAGGAAACAGCUUCUGGAAAGCAGGUUUAACCCCUGUGGGUGCAAAAAAAGAGACAGUCCUCAAAUACAAACCCUAUCAUGUUUUCCUAACCCAAGAGAGACAGCCUAUUAACAGAUCGUUCCCGUGUUUCCCAGGAAGCUGAGCAAACAAGUUGGUAUUUGGAGGAGGGAAACAUUUCCUGAAUGAGUGGAAUUUGUCUCCCCAGUCAGCGUUGCAGGUCCAGGCUACACAUUUUGCUCUGAGAACAGAUACCUCUUGUGCAGACAGAAGCAAACACUCGCUAGGACCGUCUAGCGAGAUGAGCACACGCAAAUCCUGCUGCUGCUCACGCCGAGAGGAGGCUCCGUGCACUUAUCAGAGACCUUGGCCCCUGUGAGAACUGCGAAAUGUUUAGUCAUAGCCUGACCGCUGAGCACUCGGGAACACAAAGCCUACCAAAAGUUGUUGAAAUAAUUGUAAGUGUUAUUCACAUCUUUGGAUUUGGCUGCGUGUGAAUGUGUUUGCUUUUCCUCCGGCAGCAACAGCAAACGUGGGAGAAUUUCAUACAGGAAACAACAGGUUUGGGGCUUGUGUUUCCCUCUAACACUGCACAGGCUUAGGAGGAAAACACCGUGAGCCCCCGUGGGCACCACUGCUCCCCUGACAGAGUAAGAGCCUGUUUUUUUUCCCAGUCGUGUUUGACAAAUGCAAUGAGAACACUUUGCUUUCAAUCUGCUCAAGCAAGCGAUUGCUGCGGCAGUGAGGAGAUCUCUUUUGAUGGACACAGUUGAAAGAGAAAUCCUGAAGAGUGGCUUCUGAGAGAAAACUCGGUGGAGUAAGAAGAUACACCGCACGUGCUCUAAAAGAAAGGUAUGGCAAGAGGUGCCCAGGUCUUGUUAAGGAACGCAAAGAGCUCUUCCACUCCUGAGAAGAAAUGGAGAUGUAUUUCUUCCAGGCAUACAGGAACCUGCCUAGACUGGGAAAACAACUCCUGCAGGAUACGAAUGCUGUUCCAGGCUGCUGUACAUUAUUAUCCAAACACCAUUUCUCUCCUCAAGGCUUGUGCCAGCAGCCGUGUCUCACCAGCAUUGAUGGAGCAGCCUCUGGGAUGGAUGGUUCGGGUCAGCAGAGAGGUUUUGCAGCCACACUGCCAAAGGUGUUUUCCCUGUUCCUUAUCCUCAAAGGGAAGGCUCAGUCUGGAACUGACUCUUUUUGGUUACCCACCGCCUUGUGUCUCCCCAAGAAACUCAAAUAUCGGGAGGAUGGGAGCCUCGUCUUGCAUCGCUACCCUCCGAGCUCAUCCCUUACAAGCCCUGCCCUCCCGUUCUGUGACAGCACAAUGCAGAUGCAUGUUUUUUGCCCGCUUUCCCAUCAUUGAGACAUCAUUUAGUAUUAAGACGCAGAGGACCAGAGGCCUCAGAAGCGGCAAGGGAAGAUUUACAGUGCAGUUGCUGUCAGUUGCUUUGCUCUAAUUAAGUGGCUGCUGCCUCCCUGAUGCGGCUCCAGUGCGGUGGAGCUUGACUUGCUGGGCAUUAGGGAAGCCUCCCGGCCACUCACUGUUACUAAUACCUCUACCCCACUGAAAUAAUUCUGAAAUAAGCUGUAAAAGCCUGUCAUUGAGCUCUCACCCCUUUGUCAGUAGACAGGUGCCUCCUUCCUUGGGUGCCCAUGUCUAGGACAGCACCAACACAUCCCAUGGGGUGAGGGCAUCUGUGGAGAGCAGGAUGUGGGACCAGAUGCUGCUCCUAUGGGGCCACCACCAACCUCAGGCCUUUCCUUGGAGAUGCAGGCACUUCUCUGACUCCUUAUCAGAGGAGAAAGUGGGAUGCUGGUGGUAGAAGAGAGCUCAGGAGGAGAAGACCAAGGCAGCCAUGGACCUAAGAGGUCUUCUCCCCAUGGCCCCACCUUUCUGGGACAGGAGCUCCCUCCCCAGUUUGCCUGGAGCCACUUUACCUCUCUCUGAAUUUCCAACACCUGGAACCAGAGCAGCUUGCAAUAAGCAGUUCACACAACAAGCUCUGCCUGUUUUCUCACGUCAGAGAAAUAAGGAACAGGUCGUGGUUUAAGUAAACGUGUCUAUUAGCCUCAGUUGUCUGAAUUAUUUUUGAUUACGGCUUAUUAUUUGCUUCUUGUUAACAAAUUGGCUGGUGUUAGUCAUCAGUGCACAUGCCACCUAAUUGGCUGUUUACAUCAUAUGUUGUUCUCCCUGUUCCCUCAUUGGGUAAAUUAAAUUUCAUUAAACAGCAGCCUUCUUCCUCUCUGUUUGCAGAUGAUGCAUGAACAUUUGUAGCUACUUGGCAAUUCUGUCGCGAGAUAAUAAAAGAGCUUUUCAAAAUGCCA
rnacentral:lncRNA from 1 species